rnacentral:rRNA from 1 species
AUUGAACGCUGGCGGCAUGCUUUACACAUGCAAGUCGAACGGCAGCACGGGCUUCGGCCUGGUGGCGAGUGGCGAACGGGUGAGUAAUAUAUCGGAACGUACCCAGAAGUGGGGGAUAACGUAGCGAAAGUUACGCUAAUACCGCAUACGAUCUAUGGAUGAAAGCAGGGGACCGCAAGGCCUUGUGCUCCUGGAGCGGCCGAUAUCUGAUUAGCUAGUUGGUGAGGUAAAGGCUCACCAAGGCGACGAUCAGUAGCUGGUCUGAGAGGACGACCAGCCACCGGGGAACGGAGACCCGGCCCAGACCCCGAGGGGGGGCAGGAGGGGGAAAUUUUGGAAAAUGGGGGAAAGCCUGAUCAAGCAAUGCCGGGUGAGGGAAGAAGGCCUUCGGGUUGUAAAGCCUUUUUGUGGGGGAAAAAACGGUAGGGGGUAAAAUCCUUUGCUAAGGAGGGAACCUGAAAAAAAAGCACGGGUAAAUUCCGG